GGUGAACGCUGGCGGCGUGCCUAAUACAUGCCAGUCGAGCGAACGGACGAGAAGCUUGCUUCUCUGAUGUUAGCGGCGGACGGGUGAGUAACACGUGGAUAACCUACCUAUAAGACUGGGAUAACUUCGGGAAACCGGAGCUAAUACCGGAUAAUAUUUUGAACCGCAUGGUUCAAAAGUGAAAGACGGUCUUGCUGUCACUUAUAGAUGGAUCCGCGCUGCAUUAGCUAGUUGGUAAGGUAACGGCUUACCAAGGCAACGAUGCAUAGCCGACCUGAGAGGGUGAUCGGCCACACUGGAACUGAGACACGGUCCAGACUCCUACGGGAGGCAGCAGUAGGGAAUCUUCCGCAAUGGGCGAAAGCCUGACGGAGCAACGCCGCGUGAGUGAUAAAGGUCUUCGGAUCGUAAAACUCUGUUAUUAGGGAAGAACAUAUGUGUAAGUAACUGUGCACAUCUUGACGGUACCUAAUCAGAAAGCCACGGCUAACUACGUG
rnacentral:rRNA from 1 species